rnacentral:tRNA from 1 species
GGUUAUGGCUCAGUGGUAGAGUGCUUGCCUAGCACACAUGAGGCACUGGGAUUGAUCCCCAGCACCA